CUGUUCAGGGAUGUUAUUCGGAGUGAGGCCCUUAAAAGCCCGUGCUACCUCCAUUUUAGACACCAAGUUGCUGAACGGGAGAAACGGGAGCUCUUAUGGAAGGUUCUUAAUCAGGAAGGGAAGCAACUCAAAAUAGCUUCAGGGGAAGUCCCUGAAACUGACCAGAUUCACUAGGCCCUGCCCUGCCAGAGUAAACAAGAACAGCUAAGAAUCCUUCUCAGACAAGACAAGCCACAAAGACCACACUCUGAGACUGCACCAGCUGUCUAGAAGCAGCAGAAACCAGCAUAGCUGCCUGGAAGAGGUUCAAACCAACUGAGGCUCCUGGAAAGGACGCUCUCCAACCUGUUGAGCUGCCUGCAGGCUGUGCAGUGUGCUUCGGACUCCCAGGGUUUGUGAGCUGUCACCAGGGUUGGAGGGCUUUGGUGAUGCAGCUGUCUUUGAGUCAUUUCUGCCCCUGUAAGUAACCAUAAUAAAGCUCAUUGGUUCACCAA
rnacentral:lncRNA from 1 species